UAGGGAAUAUUGGGCAAUGGGUGAGAGCCUGACCCAGCCAUGCCGCGUGCCGGAAGACGGCCCUACGGGUUGUAAACGGCUUUUAUAUAGGAACAAAAAGGGUUGUGCGCAACCUGUUGAGGGUACUAUAUGAAUAAGCACCGGCUAACUCCGUGCCAGCAGCCGCGGUAAUACGUAGGGGGCGAGCGUUGUCCGGAAUUAUUGGGCGUAAAGAGCGUGUAGGCGGCCUGGUAAGUCUGCCGUGAAAACCUGGGGCUCAACCCUGGGCGUGCGGUGGAUACUGCUAGGCUAGAGGAUGGUAGAGGCGAGUGGAAUUCCCGGUGUAGCGGUGAAAUGCGCAGAUAUCGGGAGGAACACCAGUAGCGAAGGCGGCUCGCUGGGCCAUUCCUGACGCUGAGACGCGAAAGCGUGGGGAGCAAACAGGAUUAGAUACCCGUGUAGUCC
rnacentral:rRNA from 1 species